CUAGUGUUCUUUAUUUCACUUUAUGUUGCCACUCUAGCAAUCGUUGUUCUUUACUUUUCUUUUACUUUUGCUAACUCUAGCAAUCAUGUUCUUUACAUUUCUUUACCUUUGGCUAUCUUUAGCAUUCUUGUUCUUUACACCCCACUUUGCUUUCACUUUAGUCAUUAACAUUAUUCUUUACAUCACAUUGAUUCUUUGCCUUACACUACCUCUAGUGUCACUUUACUUUACAUUAUCAAAUGCCACUCGAUCUACGUCAUUGUGUCACUCUGUUCUUUCGCCUCACUUUGGUGCUCACAUUUUCUCUCAUGCAUACAUAUACGGUUUUUGACAUUCAUAAGGUUCUCAACCAUCUCAUUAUGCAAGUUGUACUCACAAUCAUGCAACAUCUCAUUUUUUUCUCAUUACUUUAUCCUAAAAUGCAUGCAAUAAUGUAUAAACAUAUGCUCAAUUGAAUGACACAUUAGGCAUAGAGGGAAGUUCAACGAGUUUGAGAAGCACUACCCACCUCGUAGGUUCUCAAGCAACUCCCUUUCCGCGGUCCCUAGCCUCUCCCGGCGUGGAAGGCUCUGAAAAACAUCGAGAAAAGAGGGCGUGAGAACUAUAAUUUAUAGUUCCCAGUGGGCAAUUACUGACCUCAGCUCAAGCUCCACUAGGCCCCAAAGAGAAGGGUAAGUAACGACAAUAAUAAUAAGCAAUAAAGAGCGAGUAUAAGAACUGCUGAAAGAAAGCAUAAAUGAAAUGCUAUACUACUAUGUCUCAAGUAAGCAUGAUGUCAAAGUAUAG
rnacentral:lncRNA from 1 species